GAAAACAUCGAAAAAUGAGAAAAUUAUAAUUGUUGGAGGUUGUGACACAAAACUAUGAAAUUGAAAUUUUUUCUAUUUUCGGUCCUUUUUC
rnacentral:pre_miRNA from 1 species